rnacentral:rRNA from 1 species
UAGGGAAUCUUCGGCAAUGGGGGCAACUCUGACCGAGCAACGCCGCGUGAGUGAAGAAGGUUUUCGGAUCGUAAAGCUCUGUUGUAAGAGAAGAACGUGUGUGAGAGUGGAAAGUUCACACAGUGACGGUAACUUACCAGAAAGGGACGGCUAACUACGUGCCAG